GAUGAACGCUGGCGGCGUGCUUAACACAUGCAAGUCGAACGGAGUUCUGAUGUGUGAAGCGAAGUAGCUUGCUACGGAGUGGAACUUUUCAGAACUUAGUGGCGGACGGGUGAGUAACGCGUGGGUAACCUGCCUCAUACAGGGGGAUAACAGUUAGAAAUGACUGCUAACACCGCAUAACAUGGCGAGACCGCAUGACCUUGCCAUCAUAAGGUGGUAAAAAGAGAUAUGUAUCGGACUGAGAUGACCUUGCGUCCUAUUAGAUAGUUGGUGGGGUAACGGCCUACCAAGUCAACGAUAGGUAGCCGACCUGAGAGGGUGAUCGGCCACACUGGAACUGAGACACGGUCCAAAACUCCUACGGGAGGCAGCAGUGAGGAAUAUUGGUCAAUGGACGAAAGUCUGAACCAGCCAAGUCGCGUGAAGGAUGAAGGUCCUAUGGAUUGUAAACUUCUUUGUCUGAGGUAAAAAGCGGACGUGUCCGUUCUUGC
rnacentral:rRNA from 1 species